AUGGAGCAAGAUUUUGAGAAGUUCAUCCGUGAUCCUAUUCAGCAGCAACUAGAGUUUCAGCAGUUGCCCACUUCCUAUUUACGCUUGGCUGCACACUGUGUAGCUCAGCAUUAUGCACUUCAGUCUAUGGUUUUGUUAGAUAAUAACUUACCUGAUGGUGCUGGUUCCAGAAUUAUUGUUCGUAAAACUCCUGAGUGUCGACUUCCUUUGAUUCGGCUUGCAGACAUCACUGUUAGUUUGCUGUCAGAAGAAAGUGGUGUCACUAAAGUUGCAAUAAAACAUAGGCCACAGAAAUGGUCACAAAUGGCUAACAGUGGUGGCUCAAAUUCAUCAAUGGGAAACAGUUCCAAAAGUGUGGAGGAGAGGAAAAAGGAGUAUAACAGGACCCGUGUGCGAAUAUUUAAUGCUGCUAAUAAUAUUAGUGGUAGUACAAGUGGGAAAUUAGAAAGUGAACCAAAACUACAGGAUACUUCACAACAUGUUCCCCUGGUGAUGCCAAAAGUGGAAGAUAAAUCAAGUGUUUUGAUUUACAUUCUAGUAGAGGUUUAAUUGAUUGUUCAACAAGUAGCAGUAGAUCAUCUUCUAGAAGGAGGACAGAGAAGGAACCAGUGGGGAGGUACAAACCAAAUAAUAGGGUGGCCAUAUUUAGGGUUCGUGAGAUUGACAGGAAGGAUCCAGAUUAUGACAGAAGUUACGACAGGUACAUGCAAAGAUUCGAUCCCAGUUUCGGAUUCAGUGGUGGACCAUACACCAUCCAGCCCAUGUAUACUCCUGCAUUGAACUAUAACACCGAAUUCCCUCAACUUGGUUCUACUCAUGGGCCUCAGAUUUCUACUGAACAUCAACCUCGCCCACUUCCACAACACUUACCUGGGCCCUGGGUUGCACCGUCGCCCCCUGGUGGUAUUGGUUAUGGUCAUCCAGAAACCAUAAUGACACCGUUUAAUCCUAAUCAUGUUGGUGUACGCUCCACGUCUGGAAUAUAUCUGCCAUCCUCUCAGUAUCCUUGUCAGCGGCCUGGAAUGCCUUUUAUGCAUCCUUAUGAACAUGUUCACCAACAUUUUUCACAGUCUCAUCAACAGCAGCCUGAUGCAAGUUUUGGGUUAGCCCGGCCCCGGUGAGGGGCAGGGGCCAUGCCUGUACCCUGCAUGCAUGAAUUUGAGCUUCAAGUACAAUUGGCUUCCAGAGCCAGUACAUGUUUUCAUUGGCAGGAGUGCAGGCAUGGAGAACCAAGGUGGGCUUGAGAUGGAUCAAUUCAAAGGACACCCACAAUAUCCAUUCCCCCCAAUCCUUGGUUUCAUCGGAAGCUUCAUCCAUCUAUGAUAGAAUGGUGAGGAAGCUCCAUCGGUUUGGCAAUCUAUGACAAUGAUG